rnacentral:rRNA from 1 species
UUCCAGACUCCUACGGGAGGCAGCAGUCGAUCCUCCUUCACAAUUUUGGCCACCCUGAUGGUGCGACGCCGCGUGGGGGAAUGAAGGUCUUCGGAUUGUACCCCCCUGUCAUGUGGGCGCAAAUUAAACCGAUAGUACCACAAGCGGAAGAGACGGCUAACUCUGUGCCAGCAGCCGCGGUAAUACAGAGGUCUCAAGCGUUGUUCGGAAUCACUGGGCGGAAAGCGUGCGUAGGCUGUUUCGUAAGUCGUGUGUGAAAGGCGCGGGCUCAACCCGCGGACGGCACAGGAUACUGCGAGACUAGAGUAAGGGAGGGGGAACCGGAAUUCUCGGUGGAGCAGUGAAGUGCGGAGAGAUCGAGAGGAACACUCGUGGCGAAGGCGGGUUCCUGGACAGGAACUGCCGCGGAGGCACGAAGGCCAGGGGAGCGAAAGGGAGGAGAUACCCGCGUAAA